rnacentral:rRNA from 1 species
AUGAACGCUAGCGACAGGCUUAACACAUGCAAGGUCGAGGGGUAACAGGGUAGCAAUACCGCUGACGACCGGCGCACGGGUGAGUAACGCGUAUGCAACCUGCCUAUAACUGGGGAAUAGCUCCCUGAAAGGGGAUUAACACCGCAUAACACUAUUGAUUCGCAUGGAUUAGUAGUUAAAUGUAGCGAUACAGGUUAUAGAUGGGCAUGCGUGACAUUAGCUAGUUGGUGAGGUAACGGCUCACCAAGGCUACGAUGUCUAGGGGUUCUGAGAGGAAGGUCCCCCACACUGGUACUGAGACACGGACCAGACUCCUACGGGAGGCAGCAGUGAGGAAUAUUGGUCAAUGGGCGCAAGCCUGAACCAGCCAUGUCGCGUGCAGGAAGACUUGCCCUAUGGUUGUAAACUGCUUUUAUAGUAGAAGAAACACAUCUACGUGUAGAUGUCUGCCAGUAUACUAUGAAUAAGCAUCGGCUAACUCCGUGCCAGCCGCAGC